UGCAGCCCACCCAGAAAAGGAUGGAUGGAUUAAACGUUCCUGUUCUGAUGCUUUAAGUUUGAAGUUGGAGAUUUCGGAUGUGUUCACUUUUUCUGUCACAAACAUGGGCGUAGAUUCGGUUCGAGCAUGGAGGAGGGUCUGAAAGAUGCCACCAGGGAGUCGGAUGCUUCUUUCCUGUUUUUAUGAGCUGAUUUAUGGUGUAAAUGAAAUGAAGCGCACUGACAACAAGGACAGAUGUUGGAGUCGAUUUUCCCUCAAACAACACGAGCAAAGAGACACCUUCUGAUUUGCCAGUGCCUCAACAAAUUAGCAAUGCUAUGUGGCGGCGAAGCUAGGCGAGAUAAGCGUCACGCCACGGCGAGGACGGGACUUUGAUCCAGUCGGCCAUGUUGCCGGCUCUCCUCUGAGAUGCUUCCCAUUUAUCUGAUUACUCUCUGCUGCAUCUCGGAGCAGGAGAAGACAGUAAAUUAUAUGUUUCGGGGACGUUGGAGUGGCACCGGGACCUGGAUGAGAAGCAACAAAUUGGAUGUAGUGAAAGUCUGGGCGGAGGGCCAAGCUGUUCCUCGCAGCGGUGUCACCGAGACUGAGUGCGAGCCAUAUUUGAACUUCAUUUGGCGGCUAUGCAGAGUAGGACUUCUUCUCGUGUUUCUUCAUUCACAGCCGAUGAUUAAAACCGACGUUUAAUUGCCCGAGCGAACAUAAUACACUCUGCAGAAACAGGAAGUCCACUUCUGUUUAAACUUCAAGGCCACGACCUUAUAAACAGCAGUCAAUAAGAAUAAAAACAGUCUAUCAUCACCUCAGCGAACAUCCCAGAGCUGCCUACUACAUCCUGCAGGGGGCGCUGUGCAGACGAUUGUAGUUUUACAGAAAAAAGCUAAUCUGCAGAAUAUUUGUCAUCAAUAAUGGAUUCCUGUCAGCAACGUUAAAGUAACUAAUAAAUGAAUAAUAUCA